AACGCGAAGAACCUUACCUGGGCUCGAACGGCUUAAGAUCAUCCUUGGAAACAGGGACUUCUCGCAAGAGACUUGAGUCGAGGUGCUGCAUGGCUGUCGUCAGCUCGUGUCGUGAGAUGUUGGGUUAAGUCCCGCAACGAGCGCAACCCUUGUCCUGUGUUGCCACUCCCGCAAGGGAAGCACUCUCAGGAGACCGCCAGCGAUAAGUUGGAGGAAGGUGGGGAUGAUGUCAAGUCAUCAUGGCCUUUAUGUCCAGGGCUACACACGUGCUACAAUGGGCGGUACAAAGCGCUGCAAACCCGCGAGGGGGAGCUAAUCGCAAAAAACCGUCCUCAGUUCGGAUCGCAGGCUGCAACUCGCCUGCGUGAAGCUGGAAUCGCUAGUAAUGGCGUAUCAGAACGACGCCGUGAAUACGUUCCCGGGCCUUGUACACACCGUAGUAC
rnacentral:rRNA from 1 species